AAGUUUGGUGUUUUGUUUUCUGUGUAAAAUUUCUAAGGGAAUGAUCUUCAACUUCCAGGGUAAACGGAGGAUCAAGUUCUAAUACCAAGUCACUGAAUAAAGUUCACAGCAUCUGAGCACUAACCACUGAGUAUGGUUCUAGCUUUCUCUGUGCAUCUUUCACUUUCUACAUUUCUCGAAUGGAAAAAGGUCAAAUUGUAAGUGGGAGGGUCUGAGUCUGAGGUAAAGGAACAGAAAAAGUAAAUGAGUUAGUAGCAGUAAAAGCUCCAACCGUACAAUCUUCUCAGACAGGCAUUGGCUUCAGACACCAACGCUUAAAUAGUUUCAUAUACAAUAAUACCAAUAAUAACUAUUUCCUCUUUUGUCUUUAGGACCUUUUCUUUC
rnacentral:sRNA from 1 species